rnacentral:rRNA from 1 species
GUAGGUGGCAAGCGUUGUCCGGAAUUAUUGGGCGUAUAGCGCGCGCAGGCGGUUCUUUAAGUCUGAUGUGAAAGCCCACGGCUCAACCGUGGAGGGUCAUUGGAAACUGGAGAACUUGAGUACAGAAGAGGAAAGCGGAAUUCCACGUGUAGCGGUGAAAUGCGUAGAGAUGUGGAGGAACACCAGUGGCGAAGGCGGCUUUCUGGUCUGUAACUGACGCUGAGGCGCGAAAGCGUGGGGAGCAAACAGGAUUAGAUACCCUGGUAGUCCACGCCGUAAACGAUGAGUGCUAAGUGUUAGGGGGGUUUUCCGCCCCCCUUAGUGCUGCAGCUAACGCAUUAAGCACUCCGCCUGGGAGUACGGCCGCAAGGCUG